GUCAAAUCAUCAUGCCCCUUAUGUUUUGGGCAACACACGUGCUACAAUGGGCGGUACAAAGCGGAGCGAAGCCGCGAGGCACAAGCAAAUCGCUGAAAGCCGCCCGUAGUUCGGAUUGAAGUCUGAAACCCGACUUCAUGAAGUUGGAAUCGCUAGUAAUCGCGCAUCAGCAUGGCGCGGUGAAUACGUUCCCGGGCCUU
rnacentral:rRNA from 1 species